CUGGCCCAGUGUGGACAGUUGGAGGCUCAAGUUCAUACAUUGUGCUAUUAUUCUGUGUGGAACAGAGAUCCAGCUUGUUCAAAAGGAGACCAUUAUCUGACUGCCUGAAUAGAUCCCAUUGCAGGAAAAAUUGACUGAAAUAUUGUCAAAUGUGUUCCAGCAAUAAAAUUCAGAUGUUGUAUAUGCUACAAAGAAGAUAGUGACUGCUGAAUACAGACAAAUGGGAGAAGAAAGCAGUUUGGCCCAGAGGAAGAACACACAGUGGAGAUAAAGAGAUGUGUGCCAAGAAAGGCGAAUAUUCAGAUCAGAUGGGAUGCAGAUGAACAUCUGUGGAGACCCAUGAAUGAAGAAGAGAGAAGCAGAGGGAAAGAAAGAAACUGAUUGAAAAGAUGCAGUCAAAAUGGGCGGUGGGAAAGAGAAGGAGGUGAAGCUUGAUUGAAAUUUUCUGUGGAUGAAUUGUUACAUGAAGCAUAGUUCUAGAAGGUAGUGAGAAGUUAGGAAUAUAACCAUCUCUGUUUCACUCCAGCCCUGUAAGUCUUGACUAUACAGCUGUAAGAGAACUCUGUAUUAUAUAUGCAAAACCCCAUUGCCCAAAG
rnacentral:lncRNA from 1 species